ACCGAAAUAGCUCACUUGGGAGAGCGUUAGACUAUAGAUCGAAAGGUCUCUGGUUCGAUCCCGGGAUUAGCAA
rnacentral:tRNA from 1 species